rnacentral:sRNA from 1 species
CUAUUACAUGGUCUAAAAAAUCAUAAUUUUAACGUGAAUUGUUUAUAUAUGCAGUGAGUAAAACAAAUAAAUUUUCAGAAUGCAUUCCUCAUUUAUGAGAGAAGGAGUGUAAUUUCUUCGCUUACUUUUUGAAUGGAAGAAAUCGUGUAAUUUCUUAAAGUUGAAUGAUACUGCAAUAAUUAUACAAAAUGUUACUAAUUAAGUAAAAAAAAAAAAGAAGAACAAUACAAGGAACUAACAAACACAAUUUUUU